UCAAAGCCUCUCGGGGAGACCACUUCUCGCGGUAUUUGCCGCCCAGGCUCCACCCCUCGCACGCCGCUAGUCUUUGUUGGCAUAUAGUUCUUGGUGCCGGAGCUUGGACCGAGUCCGAAUCCGGAGGUCUUCUCUGCGUGGGAGGUGAACUACCCUAAAGGGUUUUGAGAGUUAGCGGCGUCAGCACGCUCCCUCCCCGGCCUGCGGUGCACGCCGAUGCCCAGAAGGGAGAGGCGCAUUCAGGUGCGCCGGUCCGCUGCAACCUGGGUCCCUGCGGCGGCCCGUUCUUCCUGCAUCACAAUGCAGGAGUGCAGGGGCGGGGGCUUCGCGGGCCGUGGGGCGCCGGGGGACUCUGAGCUGGCAGCACCUUCUCCGGUGGUAAACUGCUUAGAUGCGCAGGGAGCGUCUGCUGAGAACCCGGGCGUGAGCCGAGGCUCCGACGUCAGAGCGCCUGGGAACACCUGGGCAUCUAGCGGGCGUGCACGUUCCGACUCGGUGGCUCCGGGAGGGGCCCGACCGUCUGCAUUUCUCCCAAGCUCCCAGGAGGUGCUGCCAGUUCCUAGAGUAGCAAGGGGGUGGAGAAAUAGCUAGGGUUGUUUAAAUCUUGGAGAGCCUGGACUCUUUCGGACGAAUCAACUAAGAUGAAACAGCGAAACAUCUCAAAAAUUUGGCAAAUCUUGUUCGGUUUUUCAGUAAAAAAAAGUUUUUUAAUUAAAUUUGCUUUUGAAGUAUGUCUGUCUUAGUUUGUAAUUUACAUUUGACUAAUAGUGUGCAUCUUCAGGAAUCCUUGUGAAUGAGCAAGCCUAACUUACUUUGUUUUCAAAUGUAACAAAAAAUUAUGGAUUAAUAUUCGAUUUGACAAAAUAUUUUGGAGCUAUUUAACAUGUAUUGAUUUUAAUUUUUACAAUCAUUCGUUCUAUUUUGCUGUCAUUUUUUUUUUUUUGCAAGUUAUGCAUUAUUCAGUAAAAUGUUGAACUCAUAUCUAAAACGGGAUGGUUAAACUUGUUUUGGGUACCUAAUAAAACCUAUGCAAUCAUUACCUAAUUUUUCAAGAAUAUUCAAAUUAUAAAUUGUACAUAUCACAUUAAAUAAGCCAAAUUUGUAAAAGUAGAUAUGCAUUAUGAUCCCAGUCUCAAAAACAUCUAUUUCUAUGUCUUUGUCCACAAAAACAGAUCUGAAUGGAAAGAUGGAGUGAUUAAAUUUUUGUUCUUUCAA
rnacentral:lncRNA from 1 species